rnacentral:rRNA from 1 species
GACGAACGCUGGCGGCGCGCCUAACGCAUGCAAGUCGAACGGAGAUACCAGAGGAGCUUGCUCCACCGGUAUCUUAGUGGCGGACGGGUGAGUAACACGUGAGCAACCUGCCUUUCAGAGAGGGAUAACGUUUGGAAACGAACGCUAAUACCACAUAACAUCACGAUACGGCAUCGUAUUGUGAUCAAAGGAGCAAUCCGCUGAGAGAUGGGCUCGCGUCCGAUUAGAUAGUUGGUGGGGUAACGGCUCACCAAGUCGACGAUCGGUAGCCGGACUGAGAGGUUGAACGGCCACAUUGGGACUGAGACACGGCCCAGACUCCUACGGGAGGCAGCAGUGGGGAAUAUUGCACAAUGGGGGAAACCCUGAUGCAGCGACGCCGCGUGAGGGAAGAAGGUUUUCGGAUUGUAAACCUCUGUCUUUGGUGACGAUAAUGACGGUAGCCAAAGAGGAAGCUAC